rnacentral:tRNA from 1 species
GGAGGGGUCGCAUAGUGGCCGAGUGCGCACGCUUGGAAAGCGUGUAUCCGAGUAAUCGGAUCGUGGGUUCAAAUCCCACCCCCUCCG